rnacentral:lncRNA from 1 species
AAAUUUUUAACAUGGUGAAAUCUAAAGUUGGUUUCAAAAUAUUAUCCGGUGCGAUUCUGAAGGUUUUUGAUUCUGAGUAUUGGAUAUAUUUUAGGUAUUGAAGUCAUCAAACGAUUCAUUAUUUGGACUCUCCCACGACAAGAUAUGAAUCAUUUGUUACAUGCACGUAAAGCUGAAAAUUAUGCGACUAAGAUAAAAGUCGAACAAUGAAAAGCAAAAGAGAAGCUGAAAUAUUUAAGCCCUCGAAGUCUCCAAGUUGAAGUUUUCAAGUGUAUUCAAGAUGAAGUCCCCAAGUUGAAAUCUUCAACCCCAUCGGUCUUCAAGUUGAAGUCUUCAAAUCCGCUGAUCUUCAAGUUGAAAUAUUUAGGCCCUCCAAGUCUCAAAGUUGAAGUCUUCAAGUCCGUCGGUCUUCAAAUUCGCCAAUCUUCAAGUUGAAAUAUUUAGGCCCUCCAAGUCUCAAAGUUGAAGUCUUCAAGUUCGUCGGUCUUCAAGAUUCAGUCUUCAAAUUCGUCGGUCUUAAAGUUGAAUUGUUUAAGCCCCCCGAAUCUUCGAGUUGAAGUCUGCGAAGUCCGCCAAAUCUUCAAAAUUUUCCAAGUGUUCAAGUCGAUGUCAAAUUUGAGUUGAAGCUUUAUAACUUUCCAAUCUUAAGGUGGACAUAUAAGUCCCUUUGUACCUUAAGUUGACCUCUUCGUGGGUUUGUCCUUUAAAGGAACUAUAACUUCCCAAUCUUAAGGUGGACAUAUGAGUCCCUUUGCACCUUAAGUUGACCUCUUUGCGGGUUUGUCCUUAAAAGGAACUAUAACUUCCCAAUAUUAAGGUGGACAUAUGAGUCCCUUUGCACCUUAAGUUGGCCUCUUCGCGG